CGACUCUUGCGGUAUGGACUGCAGAAAAACUGCGAGCAACGCCUUCUACAGGGGGGACUGGAUGCUCAUUGGCUGUGCAACUGAGGGAAAAGCUACUCAGUGGUUACGCAACUAAGGGAACAGAUACUCAUUGGUUGUGCAACUGAGAAAACUCUCUAGCCAAACACCGGGAACUUUCUCUUUGGGAAAAACGCAGAGAAUACUGGGUAAAUCAACAUGUAAAUUAACCUUGGGCAUUUGAAAGGUUGGAAUGGGAGUUCAAAGCUGGUUGGGAAACCGCGCAGAAAGCUUUUUGAGAAAGAAUCACCCCGCAACUCGCGCAAAAUGUCUUUACCAUAAGUUUUCUGUUUUUUUAACAGCAAAAGACAGCCUUGCCGGAGCAAGACCUCAAAAAAUUGGUUCCAAACUCAUAACUGUUCCUCUCCACGGAAAUCUUUAGUAAAAGGCGAAAGAUUUAUGCGAUCUGAAGAGAAACCAGAGUAUGCAAACGGGCCUUAGCCUCUCCUCCCAGAGGAGUCCCGGACCCGGGUACAGUCAGGGCGGUCCCCGCCCCGCCGGCCCCGCCGACCCCACCAGCCGCCUACAUCCGAAGAGAUACAGUUCGUGCUCUGAGCUCAGGUGUGCCGCAGGAGCCCCGGAAAAUACUCUGGAGGACCGAGCUCAGCGAGCCCGAUAGAAAGCGCUGGCUCUCCUUAGCAAGGCAUCAUGGGCUAUCCGCAGCACCUUUCCAAGUUACAAGAAGUCCACGCCUCUGACCAUUUCAAAAAAGAAAAGAAAAAUAUAAAUGCCCGCCGUGGCGGGCACGUGGGCCUUCAGUUGGAAUGAUGCUUCAUCCUGGUGAGGGGCCCUUUUCUACUCCCACCUCACUCCCAGGGUGCGGAGGUGUGCGCAAUGAGGCGGCACCAGGGGUGUGCAGGAGCCCAUUGUUAAAUGUUCAGUGUGAUCGUUUACACCUGGGAAAUCCCCAAAUGCUGCCAAUCGGGACUUUUGUCAGUAGUCCAGACUAAAAGGAAGUGAUGGAGAAAUGUUUAAUGCAGAUUAAAUUUUAAAAAAUUUUUUUUUAA